rnacentral:lncRNA from 1 species
AUCUUCCUAUAUCUAUGAGGGUGGUAAAGGGUUAUUUUCGUGCAACGUGAUCGCCGUUUUUUAUUUCACGUUCAACGUGUUUUUACUUUUUUAUUUGACGUUCAGUCGUGCAAGACGGGUGCCUCGUUCAACGUGUUCUGCUUAUUUAAUUUUACGUGCAUCGUGAUUUUCAAAGUCUUAUUUUGCGUGCUCGGUAUUUUUCAAAUAAAAUUCAAACACUUGGCAGGGAUCGUCAAGAAAUACUUUUUUAAAAGCCGUAAACCAAUUAUAUCAUAAAUGUAUAUACAAAAUCGGGAAUAUCAAGUAAAACAAAGAGUUAAUAUAUACAAGAAGACAGUGACUCAGUCACAAAAGGUUCAAAUAAAAGUAUUUAUUUUUCGUGCAACGUUCAUUACAGAAAUUAUUUCACGUUCAACGUGAAAUUAUGUCUUAUUUCACGUUUUUUUUCGUGCAAGCACCCCCCC